UCAAAUUUGUAAUCUGGCGUCUUCGACGUCCGAGUUGUAAUCUCGAGAAGUGUUUUCCGUGAUAGACCGCAUACAAGUCUCUUGGAACAGAGCGUCAUAGUGGUGAGAACCCAGUACACGAUGCGGAUGCCUAUUACUUUGUGAUACACUUUCGAAGAGUCGAGUUGUUUGGGAAUGCAGCUCAAAUUGGGUGGUAAAUUCCAUCUAAAGCUAAAUAUAGGCGAGAGACCGAUAGCGAACAAGUACCGUGAGGGAAAGAUGAAAAGCACUUUGGAAAGAGAGUUAACAGUACGUGAAAUUGUUGGAAGGGAAACACAUGCAGUGAUACUUGCUAUUCGGGGCAACUCGAUUGGCAGGCCCGCAUCAGUUUUUCGGGGCGGAAAAUCGUAGAGAGAAGGUAGCAGUUUCGGCUGUGUUAUAGCUCUUUACUGGAUUCGCCCUGGGGGACUGAGGAACGCAGCGUGCUUUUAGCAUGAGCUUCGGCUUAUCCACGCUUAGGAUGCGGGUUUAUGGCUGUAUAUGACCCGUCUU
rnacentral:rRNA from 1 species